AUACUUACCUGGCAGGGGAGAUACCAUGAUCAUGAAGGUGGUUUUCCCAGGGUGAGGCUCAUCCAUUGCACUGCGGGUGUGCUGACCCCUGCGAUUUCCCCAAAUGCGGGAAACUCGACUGCAUAAUUUGUGGUAGUAACAUGUCUGUAACUUCUUG
rnacentral:snRNA from 1 species